GAUUUACGAUUAUGUAGAGAGGUAUGAGAACAUGCAGCCGAUGGUAAUAUAUAAUCAAUGUGGUGAGGUAAGAACACACAGCCAGAUAUCUUGGUUGAUUGGAAAUUCAAUCUUGGGGGCUGCUAUAACAAAGAAUUAUCCAACUUUUAAUGCAGUCAAAUAAUGUCAAUCUUCUAGACAGCUUUAGGAAUGCUGAGCCUGAAAAUGUUCCAGAGACAGAAACUUUCCCUGCAUCUCCUCCCUUAUAUUCUGAAAUCCCUGGAACAGUUCCUCUUAGUCAAGGUGUUGAAAAUGGUCCUCCCCCAUCAUAUGAUGAAGUAGUCAACCCAGAAGGUUGUUAGUUGUCCAAUAUCUCAAAGUUAGAAAUAUUAUUUCAUAUUCAUUUAUACUGUGUCAAUGCCAUUUAUAAAAAAUUAAUUGGUUUCUAAUACAAAUCAUAGGUUUUUAAAAUAUACAGAAUGGAGAUUAAAUAAAGUAUACUUGAAACCUAAUGUUCAAAUCAUUUUGACUUGUUUAUUGAGAUAUAGGUUCAUAAUUUAAUGAACUCUUUUUGUAUAAUUAGACCAUGAUUAAGGUAUGUCAUUAUAAAAAGCAGCAGUGGUCAGGAUUUGAAAAUUUAUUUAAUGCAGAUUGAGAAUAACUCAGGUAUUUUGUGCGCAUUGUAGAAAAUAAAUCUCAUGUUAUACUUACCUUGUAACUGAAACCUCUAGUCAAAUAUUAAAAGAUUUUAAAGGAAGCAUGAAGCACAUUUACGGUAUCUUUUUCCAGGUAGUUGGAUUUAUGUUAUCAUUAUAAAUUAAAAAUAUUUAGGAUCUUCUGUAAAUGAAGGAGGCAAUUUAGCAUCUUUCUUAUUUAAUUCUUCCUUAAAUAAGCAAAUUGCAUAUCUACUUUUGUUAAUAAAAGUAGCUCAAAGAAACUGAUGCCUGAACACCAGUUAGGAGCAAGCAAGUUUGAUUAUUCAGUUUGGCUUUUCAAUUGAACACCAAUUUGGAGCAGGCAAGUUUAAUUUCCAUUUUACAGGUUUUAAAUGCAUCAUGAAGCAUAUGCAAUCCAUAGUAUUCAAUCUUUACUAUGGAUGCAAAGAAGGAGAGAAGAUACGAUGAACUCUGGUCAUUACACUAUCCCUUUGAGAGAUGCUAAAUAGGAAUUUUAUUUGUCUGUACAUUUCCCUUAAAUCUGAAGCCUCCUGAAUACAGAUCUGAAUCAGAGAAAUUGACCCCAGAGCAAAAUAGUUUCUAAAACAUGUACAAGUUAUUAACAAUUAGAAUUAUGUGAUUAAGUUUCAGAAGUUAACGUACUUCUAGAGAAUGCACAACAUAAGUAAUAAGUAAUAGCAAAUUUGAUGUCUAAUAAAAGGGUUGAUUUAGAAAAGAACUUUCUUUUAGAAUUUGAAAAAUUAAAAUGCCUAAAAUCAACUUGGUUGAAGUAUCACAGUUUAGUACUGCAUUUUGUGUUUUUUAUAUAUCAGUGCUUAACAUCCAGUUUAUAUUGCAGUCAAUCAAGGCUAGUUAUGAUAGCCACUUAUUAAACUGAUCAUUGCAUUACAAUGAAGGAUACAAAAAGUUCCCAAUUGAUGAGAGUAUGCUAAACUCAUUUUUGCUGAAAGAGCCACUUAUUAUAAUGUCUCUGUUUUGGAGCACAAAAAAGAUCACUAUAAUGUGUAUCAACUUUGCCAUUUAACCCUUAAACACAGAGGUGGGGUCUAUAUGACCGCACCAAUAUUUUAGAACUGCAAAACUGCUUAUAACUUAUGUAGUUUUUCUUCUCCUUUUCAGAUCUUUCAAGUUGACAUAAAAUAUAACUAUUCCUAAAUUUUUAUUAAAUUCUAUCCAUUAGUUUUUCUUAAAAUAAUUUUUUAAAUUGGGCCUCGAUCUUUUAAACCUCACCUCUGUGUUUAUGUUACUUUUUUCUGACAUGAGAUGGAGAUGGCUUUAUUACUGUUUGAGUGUCGAACUUGUACAAGAACUUAACUCUAGAUGCUUGACAUAUGUUGGUAUUAUGGGAAAAAAAAAGAGAGAAAUACCAGGUGAAUUUUUCCAAAUAAAAUGAAAAGGGAAGGAUCUUCUCGUUAUGCAUUCACAAUAGAAUGACUCUCAUUUCAUAUGUGCCUCAAAAAUUAAAAAGUGUUAUUCUCAUUUCUUCAAUGCAUCAUUCGAAAUCAGAAGACCUUGAAAUGGAGAAACCAGAAAUAAUAAAAUUAUACAAUGUCACUAAAGGAGGUGUAGAUGCACUGGAUGAAAAAUGUUCUAAACAUUCUACAAGCCGAAGAACAAGGUAAUGGCCAAUGGCCAUAUUCUUUAGGUUACUUGAUGUAAGUGGAAUUAAUAUAAAUGUACAUCAGUUGUUAAGAGAUAGUGCCAAAUUGGAAAAAAAAAAAAAAAAAAAAA